GACGAACGCUGGCGGCGUGCUUAACACAUGCAAGUCGAACGGAAAGGCCUGCUUUCCCUUGUGGAUUGCGGGUACUCGAGUGGCGAACGGGUGAGUAACACGUGAGUGAUCUGCCCCCAACUUGGGUAUAAGCCUGGGAAACUGGGUCUAAUUCCCGAUAGGACUGCAGGGUGGUGCCUGUGGUGGAAAACGAUUUUCUAGUGGUUGGGGAUGAGCUCGCGGCCUAUCAGCUUGUUGGUGGGGUAAUGGCCUACCAAGGCGGCGACGGGUAGCCGGCCUGAGAGGGUAGACGGCCACAUUGAGACUGAGAUACGGCCCAGACUCCUGCGGGAGGCAGCAGUGGGGAAUAUUGCACAAUGGGCGGAAGCCUGAGGCAGCGACGCCGCGUGGGGGAUGACGGGCUUCGGGUUGUAAACUCCUUUCGACCGCGAGGAAGCCACCUGGUUGGAAGGGUGGUGACGGUAGUGGUAGAAGAAGCACCGGCUAACUACGUG
rnacentral:rRNA from 1 species